rnacentral:rRNA from 1 species
ACUUUUUGGUUUUGUAAUUGGAAUGAGUUAAGUAUAAACCCCUUUACAAGUAUCAAUUGGAGGGCAAGUCUGGUGCCAGCAGCCGCGGUAAUUCCAGCUCCAACAGCGUAUAUUAAAGUUGUUGCAGUUAAAAAGCUCGUAGUUGGAUUUCUGUUAAUAAUUUAUAUAAAAUAUUUUGAUGAAUAUUUAUAUAAUAUUAACAUAAUUCAUAUUACUAUAUAUUUUAGUAUAUGAAAUUUUACUUUGA